UGUUUGCAUUUUCUUUUUAUAGGCAUCUGGUUUUAAGAGGAAUAUAAAUUGAUAACCUAGUGCAUGGUUUGCUGAGGGUCUUGGUCAUUUUUCUUUGUAUCCUAAUACCCUUAAUGGAUGGUAGUUUGUCAAUGUGACUUGGUUAUAGCUGCUGAGGGAAAGUCUGUCUUUUGGCAUUGAUAAAUCAGGUUUUGGUUUAUUCAUCUUGUAUACGACAAGAGUUAGAGCUUUAU